CGGCUCUCCUUGUCCUCUUUCUCCACACAGGACGAUUUUGUGCAGUUUCGGCGUCAAUAUUUGUGUUUUUCAGGUCAUUUUGGACCGUUGUCAGCCAAGUAGCAGGGCGUCUUCCACGGCCCCGUUUCGUCGUCGUACGUGACCGUACCAGCGUAGUCGCUUUUCCUUCAGCUUUUCUUCAAUAGGAGCGAUUUUAAAACUGCCUCUCACGUAUUCGUUACGGAUCCUAUCCCUCCGGGUGACUCCAGCUGACCAGCGAAGUAUG